ACUGUAUAUAUAAUUAAUAAUAAUGAUGAUAUAUCUUUUGCUGUUUCUCUGCUUGUAGCAGCAGCUGUUUUGGGGCGGUGACUCAUGUGAUAUUUAAAGUUUAGCUCUAAACAAGUUUUCUGUUGCUUUAAUCUUCCCAAUAAUCCACGUUUUUGUGAAUGAAACCUCAUCCUGAACUUUAUUUCAGUUUGAUUCUUUGUUUUGUCCUGAUACGAUUCAUAAAGUAGUGCCAGCCACGUGCUACUGUUCUUAUCUAGCUUUAUAGUACAGAGUAGCACAGAUUAAAAGCUGCAGUGCCCAAACCAAAGAUGAAAACAGCAGAUAUUUUAAAGUAUUUGCUUUUCAAUAAUACACAUCACAUCGCUUUUACCACCAGUUUCUUUUCAUUCCUCAUUCUGAAUCAGUUUCAUAAUUCUGCUGUGUUAGGCUUGCAGCUCGACACAGAAGUAAAAGGUUGUAUAUUGUUGUGUGCCAUCCAUGUUUUUCCUAUAAGUGAAGCGUGGGAACCCCAAACCUAUUCUGUUCACACUUCUGCAUUGUAGUGUGAAACCACAACCUUCCUAGCUCACCACCUUGACCGCUCUUAGCAUCAUCACCAGUCAGAGCUACUAUAUGAACAGCGUCGGCAGUCUGUGUUGCUUCAGGGUCCCACAUCCCAUAAAUCUAUGGCUGUUUUCGUUUUCACAAAUCACUCUGGGUCUAAAUCUUCCUUCUAGUCCAGCUGAGGAACAUACAAAAAACAGAGGAAAUAUUUCUUUUUCCUUUCUUUUUUCUUUUACAUAAAACAUGAAGUAUAAAUGGUAAAAUCCCCAAACUUCAUGAAUGCUUCCUACAUUUAGUUUCAGGGUCACACUUUGCAGUCUAUCAUUUUCACAAAAACAGAGGUGAUUGUGGGCAGGAUGUAUAGGCUGGUGUCAAACUAGCAGACGACUCGUGCAACACAUCACCCACCAGCAGUUGGAGAAACAACAUGCCAACUUCACGAAGUGAUGAGUUCUCAGAAGACAGCGGUCAGUCCACUAACUGACAGAUAACUUACAGAACAAGCGCCUGAUGUAAUAAGCUAUGAGGGAAACCAUGCUGGUUUUAGUUCCAGUUUUGAUAAUGUUGAUGAAACGUUUCCCUUUCCUGGUUGGGAGUUAUAGGUUUAUUUUUAGCCUCAGCUUCUGUAAAAGAGUGCAUUACUGGUCAGCUCUGACUAUCACUUGACCUCAGGAAACAUAACUGAAGGCGUUCAUCAGGGAUAACUCCUUGCUCCUCUUUAAUUCCCCUUUUUAUGGUCCAUUUUAUUCAGAAACUAUGACCUAAAAUAGUAAAAAAAAAAUAAAAUAACUGUUUGCAGAUGAUUAAUUCAUUUACAAAGGAAUAAAAACUGUCAAAAUACACCAGACCCUGUGUGAGAAAGUAAUCACUCCCUUCUGACACCAUUUAUUACCUGUGAUUAUUAUUAUAUAUUAUUAUUUAUGGGCCACACUGGCUGAAUCAAGAAAUCGCUUAAAAGUAACUUGUUUGACAACAGAUGUAGGUUAAAAUAGGUGAAAACAUGACAUCAUCUAAAGACAUUUAAGAACAAAUGAGACAUAUUAAGUCAGGAAAGUAUUAUAAAUCUAUUUACAAGACUUUGAGACUCGAGCAAAGUAGAGGAAAAGCGAUUUUCCUCAAAAAAUUACAACUUUCUCCCGUUUCCUUCCUUUUUCAUUUUAAAAACCCUCCAACGUGGCUAAAUGAACCAUUACAGAAAGAAGCAGCAGCUCUAAUUAUAGUCGCUGACAGUAACUUAGAAAUUAGCAGUUUUGUUUUACUUCCUAUUCAGCUGCGGUCAAAAUGAGCUGAUAUGAAUUCACUUUUGCCGUCCCGACCUUCGCCCUCCUCCUUGCAUUAGCUCUGAAGAGUCGUCUGACAGCACAAGUCUUGUGCAGAUCUUUUGACCGUCAUGAAUCUGGACAAACUGUGGCUCGUUGUGCUGCUGCCUCUUUGUUUUUGUUUGGAACCUGAAGGUAUAAGAAAAGAGUUUUCUAUGUAACCUCUACGCACAAGUCUGUCUUUUCUUCAUAUCACACCUGAUUUUCUACUUAUUCUAACUAUUCAUUAUUUUACAUUGUAGUGGUCAAGUUGUUGUGCCGCAUUUAAUCUAUUAAUUAAAAUUUUAUGCUAAUUAUUAAUCUUCUCAUUAAAAAUAAUUCAUUAUUUUUAAGACACUAGAAAAAUGACAUGCAGAAAAUGUAUUUCUACCUUUAAUAGAAAUACUAAAUAAUAGUGAUCCACUUGUAUUUUUGUGUAUUUUGCUUCGAUGCAUCUCCAGCAGAUGACGGCAGCUCUUCUCUGCUCAGAGUGAUCAGCUGCAUGGUGGCGGUCAGUGCUGAGGCUGGUUUUACCGCCGUAGCUGCAGUGACACUUGGACUCACCUUGAGAAAAAUACUCUGCAGAUGCUGCAGACAGACUGAAAGUCUUGAAUUAGACGUAAGUGAAGCUACUUCUUUAAACACAGACUCUUCACUGUUUGUGAAGAUGUGCUGAAUAUUUCCUUUUCUGUUUUUGUAUGUGUGUAGAGCGACAGCAGAAACCUGCAUUUCAGUUCAGAUCCCUUAAAUUUCUAAAUUAAUAUCACAGUUUUGGAAGCUUAACACAACGUGUUAAAAAUAUUCACACCUUUUGAGCUUUUUUACAUUUUGUCUUGCGAGGACCAAAACGUUUCAUGUAUUUUAUUGGUUAUGUACAGUAUGUGAUAGACCAACACAAAGUGGUGCCUUAUUGUAUUGGGGAAGAUGAACACAGCACAGCUUUACCAGUAUUUAACAUUGCAACUAACAAUUAUGCAACAUUUCUGAUAUUCUGUUGCAUUAAAAUGCAUUUGUUUGGUUUUAAGUGUGAAAAACUAAAAAGAGAUGUUGAUACUUUUGCAAAGUGCUGCAUGCUGAAACAAUCAACCUAAAAUGUCUCAAACUAUUUAUAUUUGUGACAGUUUCACACCGUGGAUGAGGUGCAAGACAUGAGACUAAAAACCACAAAUCUUUUUGAACAGCUCAAUGUGUGUUGAAGCUGAACUUAAAUCAGCUUGUGCUGAUUGGAAAAGCUGGAAAUCUGCCCUAAGUGGUUGUUAGUCACCUGUUGUCGAUGUUUGAGGCCUAACAAAGUUUCAGGAGGUCAGUAGUGGCAGACAGGAUGAGGGCGUAGAGUGACCUAAAAAAAAAACGGGUUUCAGUUUGACUGCAGCUUCC